rnacentral:rRNA from 1 species
UACAGAGGGUGCAAGCGUUAAUCGGAAUUACUGGGCGUAAAGCGUGCGCAGGCGGUCUGUUAAGACCGAUGUGAAAUCCCCGGGCUUAACCUGGGAACUGCAUUGGUGACUGGCAGGCUUUGAGUGUGGCAGAGGGAGGUAGAAUUCCACGUGUAGCAGUGAAAUGCGUAGAGAUGUGGAGGAAUACCGAUGGCGAAGGCAGCCUCCUGGGCCAACACUGACGCUCAUGCACGAAAGCGUGGGGGGCAAACAGG